AAAUUAUUUGUAUGCUUCAAAAAAAGAAAGAGAGAGAGAGAGAGAGAGAGAGAGAGAGAGAGAGAGAGGUGUGACAUUGUACAGAGAAGCCAUAUAAUGGCGGUUUUUGGGGAGCCUGCUAGAAUGUCACAUGGAUGGCUGUCGUAGGGGUUGUACAUAUCCCUUCCCCCCCUUUUUCCUGCUGCCAUGCUGUAUGCAGUACUGCAAGCUAAUAGCGUUGGUUUGUUAUGUAGUGUGCUUUUGCCCCUCCUCCCCAAUCACCCAGCAUUCCAGCAUCUUACCUUCAUAUGCAGUAAAAGGAAGAAAGAAAAAAAAAAAAGGAAAAAAAAAACAACAAUGUUUUGCAGUUUUUUUCAUUGCCAAAAACUAAAUGGUGCUUUAUAUUUAGAUUGGAAAGAAUUUCAUAUGCAAAGCAUAUUAAAGAGAAAGCCCGCUUUAGUCAGUACUUUUUUGUAAAUGGCAAUGCAGAAUAUUUUGUUAUUGGCCUUUUCUAUUCCUGUAAUCAAAGCUGUUUGUCGUAACUUGAAAUUUUAUCUUUUACUAUGGGAGUCACUAUUUAUUAUUGCUUAUGGGCCCUGUUCAAAACAGAGGCGCUUAAUUUGAUCUUUUAUUUUUCUCUGUUUUUAUUAUUUUUUUUUUAUUUGGAUGACCAAAGGUCAUUGCAACCUGGCUUUUUACUGUAUUUGUUUCUGGUCUUUGUUAAGUUCUAUUGGAAAAAACCACUGUCUGUGUUUUUUUUGGCAGUUGUCUGCAUUAACCUGUUCAUACACCCAUUUUGUCCCUUUAUUGAAAAAAAUAAAAAAAUUAAAGUACAAUGU
rnacentral:lncRNA from 1 species